GACCGAGGGUGCAAACGUUGUUCGGAAUUCCUGGGCGUAAAGCGCGUGUAGGCGGCCCUGCCAGUCGGAUGUGAAAUCCCACGGCUCAACCGUGGAAGUGCAUUCGAAACUGCAGGGCUAGAGUCCUGGAGAGGAAGGUGGAAUGCUUGGUGUAGAGGUGAAAUUCGUAGAUAUCAAGCGGAACACCGGUGGCGAAGGCGGCCUUCUGGACAGUGACUGACGCUGAGACGCGAAAGCGUGGGGAGCAAACAGG
rnacentral:rRNA from 1 species